UACGUAGGGUGCAAGCGUUAAUCGGAAUUACUGGGCGUAAAGCGUGCGCAGGCGGUUUUGUAAGACUGUCGGGAAAUCCCCGGGCUUAACCUGGGAAUGGCGAUGGUGACUGCAAGGCUAGAGUUUGGCAGAGGGGGGUAGAAUUCCACGUGUAGCAGUGAAAUGCGUAGAUAUGUGGAGGAACACCGAUGGCGAAGGCAGCCCCCUGGGUCAAAACUGACGCUCAUGCACGAAAGCGUGGGGAGCAAACAGG
rnacentral:rRNA from 1 species